CUCCCCACUGCCUCCAUCUCUUGGUCCUCUUCCCCUUUGCAAAAGAUCUAUCUUCCUGUUUCCUAUAUGUAACUUAGGGCCAGUCCCCAAUCUACAGUUGUUACCAGGCCAGUCACACCAGUGGCCUUGGGCAGAGAACUCCACUGUGAAAGACUGAGCCUCUCCAGUCCCACCUGUACCCUGGCCACACCAUCAUCCUUGGGAAGCACCUCUGAGUCAUCCCUGUGCCUUCACUGCCACCUGGGAAGUCAUAAGAGAAGAAGAGGGAGUGGGGGCAAACUGCAAACCAGGUGUCACCCCCCCAACCCUCAUAAAGCUCUGCAAGGCCACAUGGCAUCGAGGAGGCUGGGGGUAUUCGUGUCAUUGUCCCACUGUGUCCUCCCCCUGGGGAGAGGCAGAGGUGUGUCAUGUCCAUCUUGGGCAGGGCUACAGGCCAGGGCCUGGACACAGUGGGGAGGAGACCCAGGAAGGAAUAAGGCUGAAGACAAAGGGGCCUCUCACGGCCCCUUGCAGCUGCCCCUCUGCAGCUUUCUCAGCCUCGCCAGUUCCUCUGCCAGGGUCACGGCUCUACAGCCAUCAGCCCGCACUCCCACACCUUCAAGGCCUCAGACCCAGGCCACCAGGCCCAGAUAUGCCCCGCUUGGGGAGAAGGGCCAGCUGGAUGGUGUGGGUAGCUUGAGUCAUGGGACAAGCACGGAACGGGGCCUUUUUCUUUUUCCCCAACCUCUGGGGAAAGCACAGUCCUGCUGAAAUGCCCCACAGCUCCUCUCUCAGGUGCCAAUAUGACAGUCACAAAUAGCAGCCAUGUCUGUAAUCCCAGCACUCGGGAGGCUGAGGCAGGAGGAUCACCAAAAGUUCAAGGCCAGCCUGGGCUACAUAGUGAUUUCAAGACCAGACUGGGCUACAUAGCAAGACCCUGUCUCAAAAACAAAACAAAACAAAAAAUAGUGGCCAUGGAGGGAUCCUUGGCUCCGGUCACUAAGGUCCCCACCCUAAGGAGUAAAAGACAGAUUCCAACACAUAGCCUGGUGCCACGUGGCACCACUCACUUCUGCUGUUAGACACAGUUCUGUCCUCAGCCGUCCAGUGCUGCCCUGGUCACCAGCAGGGGGGUGGGGACCUCCCGCAGGCUUUGCAUAGCCCUGUGUGCUGAGCAUGGCAUCCCACACCUGAAACUCUGCAGCCAGUCAGAUGUCAACCCUGCCACCACCCACCCUGCAAGUGUCACACACACAGCUAUGGUGUCUGGGUGUCUGGCCUGUGCGGCUGCCAGGAGUGCUCAGUGCCUCUCCCU
rnacentral:lncRNA from 1 species